GAUGAACGCUGGCGGCGUGCCUAAUACAUGCAAGUCGAGCGAACAGACGAGGAGCUUGCUCCUCUGACGUUAGCGGCGGACGGGUGAGUAACACGUGGAUAACCUACCUAUAAGACUGGGAUAACUUCGGGAAACCGGAGCUAAUACCGGAUAAUAUAUUGAACCGCAUGGUUCAAUAGUGAAAGACGGUCUUGCUGUCACUUAUAGAUGGAUCCGCGCCGCAUUAGCUAGUUGGUAAGGUAACGGCUUACCAAGGCAACGAUGCGUAGCCGACCUGAGAGAGUGAUAGGCCACACUGGAAGUGAGACACGGUCCAGACUCCUACGGGAGGCAGCAGUAGGGAAUCUUCCGCAAUGGGCGAAAGCCUGACGGAGCAACGCCGCGUGAGUGAUGAAGGUCUUCGGAUCGUAAAACUCUGUUAUUAGGGAAGAACAAAUGUGUAAGUACCUAUGCACGUCUUGACGGUACCUAAUCAGAAAGCCACGGCUAACUACG
rnacentral:rRNA from 1 species